GACAUGUACGGAAUCCUGCUGAGAGGUGGGAGUGCUCGAAAGAGAACCGUAACACAGGUGCUGCAUGGCUGUCGUCAGCUCGUGUCGUGAGAUGUUGGGUUAAGUCCCGCAACGAGCGCAACCCUUGUCCUUAGUUGCUACGCAAGAGCACUCUAAGGAGACUGCCGGUGACAAACCGGAGGAAGGUGGGGAUGACGUCAAGUCCUCAUGGCCCUUAUGGGUAGGGCUUCACACGUCAUACAAUGGUCGGUACAGAGGGCUGCCAAACCGCGAGGUGGAGCUAACCCCAGAAAACCGAUCGUAGUCCGGAUCGCAGUCUGCAACUCGACUGCGUGAAGCUGGAAUCGCUAGUAAUCGCGGAUCAGCAUGUCGCGGUGAAUACGUUCCCGGGUCUUGUAC
rnacentral:rRNA from 2 species